rnacentral:rRNA from 1 species
GAUGAACGCUGGCGGCGUGCCUAAUACAUGCAAGUCGAGCGAAUGGAUUAAGAGCUUGCUCUUAUGAAGUUAGCGGCGGACGGGUGAGUAACACGUGGGUAACCUGCCCAUAAGACUGGGAUAACUCCGGGAAACCGGGGCCAAUACCGGAUAACAUUUUGAACCGCAUGGUUCGAAAUUGAAAGGCGGCUUGGGCUGUCACUUAUGGAUGGACCCGCGUCGCAUUAGCUAGUUGGUGAGGUAACGGCUCAACAAGGCAACGAUGCGUAGCCGACCUGAGAGGGUGAUCGGCCACACUGGGACUGAGACACGGCCCAGACUCCUACGGGAGGCAGCAGUAGGGAAUCUUCCGCAAUGGACGAAAGUCUGACGGAGCAACGCCGCGUGAGUGAUGAAGGCUUUCGGGUCGUAAAACUCUGUUGUUAGGGAAGAACAAGUGCUAGUUGAAUAAGCUGGCACCUUGACGGUACCUAACCAGAAAGCCACGGCUAACUAUGUGCCAGCCGCCGCGGUAA